AGAAGGCACUAGAUAAAUUCAAUUAACCAUAAUGAUAGGAAGUGAGGUAAUAACUGGAGAGAAUAAAAGCCCAAAUAGAGUCUCUGUAGUUCAUUCAGAGCCAAGCCAGCACAGAGGACACAAGCUCCAGAUUACAAGCAAUAAAUAACGAAUGUUAUAGAGACAUUUGGAGGUUCCUAAAACGUUGGCUAUUUAAGAUUCUGGGAUCACCUGUCCAUAUUAGGAUAUAUAUUAAUUUUAAUAAUUGUGUCGUCAUGGGAGUCCCCCAUUUUAUACAAAUUAUCUGCUAGGACAUAUUGCUCUUACCUGUAGAAAACACCCCUGAGGAAGUCUGUAUAGAUGAAACGCAUUGGGUGAAGGUCUUAGACAUAGUGGGU